rnacentral:rRNA from 1 species
ACGGGUGAGUAAUGCAUCGGGACCUACCCAGACGUGGGGGAUAACCUCGGGAAACCGGGACUAAUACCGCAUACGUCCUAUGGGAGAAAGCGGGGGACCUUCGGGCCUCGCGCGGCUGGACGGACCGAUGUGCGAUUAGCUAGUUGGUAGGGUGAUGGCCUACCAAGGCGACCAUCGCUAGCUGGUCUGAUAGGAUGAUCAGCCACACUGGGACUGAGACACGGCCCAGACUCCUACGGGAGGCAGCAGUGGGGAAUAUUGGACAAUGGGCGCAAGCCUGAUCCAGCAAUGCCGCGUGUGUGAAGAAAGCCUUCGGGUUGUAAAGCACUUUUAUCAGGAACGAAAUACCACGGGUUAAUAACCUAUGGGGCUGACGGUACCUGAGGAAUAAGCACCGGCUAACUUCGUGCCGCCCCCCUUGUAAUACGAAGGGUGCAAGCGUUAAUCGGAAUUACUGGGCGUAAAGGGUGCGUAGGCGGUUGUUUAAGUCUGUCGUGAAAUCCCCGGGCUCAACCUGGGAAUGGCGAUGGAUACUGGGCAGCUAGAGUGUGUCAGAGGAUGGUGGAAUUCCCGGUGUA